rnacentral:rRNA from 1 species
UCCUGGCUUAGGAUGAACGCUGGCGGCGUGCCUAACACAUGCAAGUCGAACGAAGCAUAUUGCCGGAGAUUCGUGAAGGGAGAUAUGACUUAGUGGCGGACGGGUGAGUAAUGCGUGAGCAACCUGCCUUUCAGAGGGGGACAACAGUUGGAAACGACUGCUAAUACCGCAUAAUGUACAUUAGAGGCAUCUUUGAUGCACCAAAGGAGCGAUCCGCUGAAAGAUGGGCUCACGUCUGAUUAGCUUGUUGGCGGGGCAACGGCCCACCAAGGCGACGAUCAGUAGCCGGACUGAGAGGUUGAACGGCCACAUUGGGACUGAGAUACGGCCCAGACUCCUACGGGAGGCAGCAGUGGGGAAUAUUGGGCAAUGGGCGAAAGCCUGAACCCCAGCAACGCCGCGUGAAGGAAGAAGGUCUUCGGAUUGUAAACUUCUUUUAUGAGGGACGAAGGACGUGGCGGUACCUCAUGAAUAAGCCACGGCUAACUACGUGCCAGCCGCUGC